UACGGAGGGAGCUAGCGUUGUUCGGAAUUACUGGGCGUAAAGGGCGCGUAGGCGGCGCGGUAAGUCACUUGUGAAAUCUCUGAGCUUAACUCAGAACGGCCAAGUGAUACUGCAGUGCUAGAGUGUGGAAGGGCAAUCGGAAUUCUUGGUGUAGCGGUGAAAUGCGUAGAUAUCAAGAGGAACACCUGAGGUGAAGACGGGUUGCUGGGCCAACACUGACGCUGAGGCGCGAAAGCCAGGGGAGCAAACGGG
rnacentral:rRNA from 1 species